UAGUGAUUAUGAUAAUGAUGAUAAUGAUGAUGAUGAUAACACAACAUAUCUAUAUUGGUUUGCUAUACCGUCACCGACUUCAUCAUCAUCAUCAUCAUCAUCAUCAUCAUAA
rnacentral:miRNA from 1 species